CUUCUUUCUCUUUCACAUCCUCCCUCAAAUCUGGCUGGAUGGAAUUUGCUAGAUUUGAUUGUAUAGGCUCCGAUGGUCGGACUGGGACAAGCUUGUGACGUUGCCGGUGCUGGACAAAUCCUUCAAUGCUCAAUGUUUUGGUAAAUCUAUCUACAAAUUACAUAGUUGUAGGCACAUAUUCUAUCUGUUCCUCUUUUAAUUAGUUCUCAUACACCUAAGGUAUCAAUGAAUUAAUUCCACAAAUUUAAAUGGAUCAAAAGGACCUGAAGGGACCCUUUGUCUCCGAUCUAAGAUCGGAAUUCGAUCUAGAUAGUAGAGACUAAGAGCUGUGGAAUUAAUUCCUUGUGAAAAUUUGUUUGAAGCAGGGGCAAUCUGGAGCAGGGUCGACUGGAACGAUCUUGAGGAGGCUUCCUGGAUGAAAUUGAAGGUGUCCGGAGACUCGGAGGGAGGUGCUAGGAGGAUGAUGGCGGUAUGGGAUCUGAUUGUAGAGCGAGGCGAGCUGUGGGGUUUGCCGGAGGGUCUGAUCGGAAAUGGGGAAUGAAAGGUUGAACGUCGGGAUUGUGAGAGGGAGAUGAAUGGGAAAAUUAUAGUUUUAUUUCAUUAAUUGUAAAUCAAGUACAUCGGGGCCCUUUAUAGAGAUACAAAGGGGUGCAUUAAUUAAAUUGUAACAACUAAUUAAUGAGUGUACUACACUUUUACAAUUUAUGAUAAUAAUAAAAAUUAAAGACUGAUUAAACUAAUUACCCUUUACCUUUAUUACCUGCUAAUUGGAUCUUCCCCCGUUUCUUUAAACGGUAUAAUCCGUAACCCAUUUAGAGGGUUUCUUGGUUCUGACGGAUCUCCUUGAUUUCUCGCCGGUGCCCUCUUCCCAACCUUUGACUUUCGUCGGAUUCUGCUGCUCGUCCCUCGCCGGAUUCUUCAUUCAGGUCAGUGAUUCUCUCCAAGUCGCGUAUGAUGCUUCUUGUGUCAAGUAACUAAUUUCUAUGUGUCUAGAUCGUGAAGUAAUUGUUGGAUUCUUUGCCAUGAAUAUUAUUGAUCUUCUGUCACAUAGUAAUGUUGGGGGUGAACUCAAUUUUAGUCUCAACUCUCUAAAUAGAUAGCAAAACCAUCUGACUUCUGAUGUAAUAUGGGUCAUGACCUUAAAUUCUGUCUCUGAGCUUGAAUUUGAUAUUGCUGGUUGUUUUUUAGUUGACCAGGAAAGUAAAUUAUUUCCAUACCAUAUGCUUGAUCUUGUAAUUGACCUCCUAUCUGAUGAGCCUCCCCAGUCUGAAUCAGUAUAGGCCACUAAGUUCAUCACCUCUUAUGUUCCUUUAGUUAUUCUCAGACCUAAAUUAGAAGUCCCUUGUAAAUAUCUUAAAAUUCUUCUUAUUGCCAUCAAGUGACCUUAAUUUGGGAUUUUGUAGGAAUUGACAUACUUGAUUAAUUAUGAAUGACAGAUCAGAUCAGGUGAGGGAUAGAUAUUAUAGACUCCUCUUCAUGCUUCUAUAGGUUGUGAUGUCCUCCAAAAGGUUUCCCAUAUCUUGGUGUAGUUUUGUGGAUUGAGUAAUAGGUGUUUUAACUGGAUUUUCUUGUUCAUAUCCAUAUCUUUUAAGAACAUCUUUUAUAUAUUUUUCCUGUGAUAAUAUUAUAUUAUCUCCCUAGUCUGAGAUACCAGGCCUUAGGAGUUUGUUUUAACUCAUAUAAAGUCUGUUGUAAUAGACAUAAAUCUUCAUAUCAUCAUUUUGGUUGUCAUCAUUUUCAUUUUUUUCACCCUCUCCAAUAUCAGAUAGCUCCAUGUUCUCAGAGAAGGCAUGUUCAGAUUCAUUAUGUUCAUGGGAUUGAUCUUGUGAAUAUAGAUUUGGAGUGGUGUUCUCUUUUAGUGGGAAUACCUUCUCAUAGUAGGUUACAUCUCUACUGAUGAAGAUAAGUUUAUGUUCUAAGUCAUAGAGAACAACUCCCUUUUGGUUUGGAGAAUCUCCUAAGUAUAUGCACUUCCUUGUUUUGGGGGAGAAUUUAUCCUCCUUUACCAAGAAAGUAGCAUAACAAAGACAACCAAAAGUUCUUAGCUUCUCAAAUGUUGAUGUCUUUGAGUGUAUGAGCUCAUAGGGGUUUUUUUUUUUAGUCACCUUGGAGGGUAAUAUGUUAAUAAUCUUGAGAGUUGGGGGAGAACCCGAUUUUAGAUUUAGAUUAAAUGAAAAAGUUGUUUAAAACUAUUACAAGAGUGCUUGCUAUUUAUACUAUUGACCUAAAUUAUAUUAUGUGGGCCUUAAGUUAUGGGUCUCAUCUAAAUAAACAAUUAAAGAGAUAAUGAGAGAUAGUAAAAGAAAAUUAGAAGAACUUCAAUAUGAUCAUUGCUUCUAAGUUCUUUGUAUUAAGACUCAAUAGAGUCAGUUAUAAUUCACUUAAAGUCUAAAGACUAUUUCUAUAAAGAUUACUUGUGUUAGUUAGUAGUUAUAUAAAAUUAGUAUAAUAAUACUUAUAUAUAUGAAAACUGUAAGUUGAGAUUGUAGUUUUUUUUGAUAAGAUACAAUAUACUCGUUCAAUGUGUAUUUUCUUAAAAGGUUUAAUACGUGAGAUUAUGAAUUUCAACAUGGUAUACAGAGCUACAUGACAUGCGUCACGUCUUGACUGGGCAAUACAAGUUCCCCCCUUCUUCCCCUAAAGCGAUUUGAGGACAGUAGACGGUCUCCGUCUGCAUCAUUUUAGGGCUUCUGAUAUUAGGGCUCGCUUGAUCUGGUUGUGCGUUUACUAAAGGCGUUUGGUUGAUCCGAUAUUGGAGAUCGUUCGGUUGAAGGUUGGACUGAUUUCUUGCGACAUUCAGUUAGGUUUUUUAUUAUUUUCUUUUCCUUUUCUUUAAAUUGAAUUGUUUAGAUUCUGUUUUGCAUUGUGAUCAAAUUAGUUUUCACUUUUCCUUCCCAAUUUCUUCUUUUCAUUUUCCAGAACCUUGAUUGGGGUUCUCUUCUUGGAAAAUUUUCUUUUCCCCAAAUUCUUCUCUCACACGAUUCUGAAUUGUUCUUCCUCAAUUCAGUUCCCAAACUUUUCUUCAUUUUCUCAGCAAUGGAGACACUCUCAAUUGGCAAUAUUUAGAGUGUAAAAACUGUAAAAUUAGGCAAACAAAACUAUGCAAUAUGGCGCCAACAAGUAGCAAUGAUUCUCAGAGACAGCAAGCUACUUGGUUUCGUAGAUGGAUCAUUCAAGGCACCAUCAUCCGUUCCAAACAGUAAAUGGGAGUUUUUAAAAAAUGAACAAGGUCUAAUUUAUGAAGAUUGGAUACAACAAGAUAGUUUGUUGAUGGGCUGGCUUAUGACUUCUAUGACUGAAGAAGUUCUGCCCAAGGUUUGUGUCUGCACCACUUCAGCAGAAAUGUGGUCCACACUUGCAAAAGUUUUUGCAUCUAAUUCUCAAGUAAGGACCUUGCAACUCAGGCUCACCUUACAGACUACAAAAAAAGGAGAUAAGUCCAUGGAAGAUUUUAUUUCUCAGAUGGUUCAGAUAGCCAAUUCUCUGGCUCUAACAAGAGACAAGGUUAAAGAUAAAGAUCUGACACUUUUCAUUCUAGGAGGUCUUGGGACUGAAUAUGAUGGUUUAUUCACAGUCAUCACCACAAGACCAGGCAAUGAAGCACUCUCUGUUGAUGAGAUUCAAGGGUUGCUUCUGAAUCAUGAAAUAAGAAUGGCAAAAAAUGUUGCACCUUCCUUAGAAAAUUCACUUUCAGUGAAUUAUAUCAACAAACAGAGGUACAACUCUAAUUCCAACAAUUCUUAUCAUUCUAAUAAGAAUCAUUCUAGUGUGCAGAAACAGAACCAAAAGCUCACUCUCUACAGUUUCUUAUUAUGCCAAAUCUGUGAGAAGAGAUGCCAUAUUGCCUCAAACUGCUACAACAUAUUUAAUAAAAGUUUCAAUAACAAUCAAAAGCAAGUGAAUCUGGUGUUUGAAGAGGAAGAGGAACAAAAGGAAAACUCCAGCUUAUGACAUCCAGAUUCUGAGGCUAGUACACACAUAACUUCAUAUUUUAGCGACUUAAACUUUGCAUCUCCUUAUGAAGGAGCAGAUAGGGUUCAAACAGCCAAUGGAUCUGGUAUGAAAAUACUUGACAUUGAAUCUUCUAAUUUUAAAUGUGGAGAUAGGAUUUUACACAUAAAAGACUCAUUACAUAUCCCUUCUACAUCUAAAAACCUAUUGUCUGUUCAUAGAUUUUGUAAAGACAAUAAUGUAUGCUUUGAAUUUGAUGUGUCUAAGGUUGUGGUGAAGGAUAAGAGCACACAAAAAGUGUUGAUGCAAGGAAGAGCGAGCAAUGGAUUGUAUACUUUUCCUAUGCAACCAACAAAGACGUCAUCUCCUCAUCAUGCAUUUAUUUGUGAGAAAGCUUCACUAAAUAAGUGGCACUCUAGAUUUGGCCAUGUAAAUGAAAUUACUAUUAGAAAAAUCUGUAAAAACAAUGACUUACCUAUUGUAAACAAUAAAUUUGAAGAUUGUGUUCCAUGUGCUAUGAGUAAAUGUCAUAAGUUACCGUUCUCUACAGUAAAUUACUCACUAACAAGACCCUUAGAAUUGAUAUUUAGUGAUGUUUGGGGACCUUCAUCCCACACAUCUCCACAAGGGUUUAUGUUGAUGUUUUUAGUAAAUUCACAUGGAUUUUUCCAAUACAAACAAAAUCAGAAGUGUUCAAUAAAUUCAAAGAGUUUAAGCAAAACAUUGAAAAUCAACUAGACCUUAAAAUUAAGGCAAUCCAAAAUGACAAUGGCGGUGAGUUUAAAAGUCUGAUUUUUAAAGAUUUUCUGAAAAAUCAUGAAAUUAAUCAUAGAUUUGCAUGUCCAUAUACCCAUGAGAAAAUUAGAAGAACUUCAAUAUGAUCAUUGCUUCUAAGUUCUUUGUUCGCCACUUUCAUCAUGUGGCUUUUUCUCUAAUUUUUUAAUUCUAUUGGUCCUUAUUAUGUUUGCAUACACAUGGUUUUUUACUUACUCUAAUCUUCAUCUCUUGGAGACACUUGCGAGUGGAUAUGUUACUCAAAUAUUCAGUUCGAUUGGUUUAAUCAAACGAUCCUUGGUUUAAAAGUUAAGAUAAACAAAUCGAAUCGAAUACUUGAUGUUCCGUUCUUUUUACCAUUUAAAUAUGUAAUUUAUGAUGUAGCAAAGAAAAGGGAGAAUGCAGUUCCAUGUGGUUUCCCAACUGAUAGAAUCAGAUAAUGAUAACAAACAUGAUUAACAUUACAUCCCAACUGCUUUCUUCAAAACUGAAGAAGAUGAAGGUGGUUUCAAUGCUUUUCUAAUCUUAAAUAUGUUCCAUGUAGUUCCUACUAUAUGCCCAGUCGUCGCAAAUACAUCCUCGGUUGCUUGCCCUGCAUUUUCGCCAAAUCUACAAUACACAAACCAAAAUGCUUUAGACGGACAGCAAUAUUAACAUAUUUCUUAUAUAUCCGCCAAGUUUGAAGUCAUCCAACAAACAGGUAUUGUCGAACAAAACAUACACAUCUGCUCUUACCAAUGAUCGGAGUUUAUAAGCAUUCUAAUUCAUAACAAUUUUUACUUUACCUCUUUGAAGCUACUUCUGCCAUUGUACUUCCAGUGGAAGCGAUGGUUCUUCUCUCGGCAGCCUCUAUUGCAUCCAAAAGUUUGUCUGUCAGUGUUAAAUAAGUUACAUCAAGAAUUCUAGCAUUGACGGCGCAAUAAUGUUGGUACAUCAGGUGAAUUUUGGUAUGUCGCUUUAAGGUUGUUUUAUCUUUUUAGAAACUAUUUAUAAGGAUGAUAGCUAGGGCUAGUUAUGGAUAGUACUUACUAACAACAUCUAGUGAAGUCACUACAACAUUCAUAGGAAAUGAUCCCAAGAUCGCCUUCCCGGUCUUCGAUUUGGCUACUGAUGCACUUGCUAUGUCUGUGACUACAAUUACACCAUUGAGCAAAGAUUUGCUCAUCUUCUCAGUCAUUCCAGAAAAUUGUCUCACCCUAAAAAUAUUGAUCAUCAAGAUCAAGUUUAAUAUGUGCGCGUUAAUAUGGUCAUCAACCAAACUCGACCUAAUAUAUUAUCAGUCAUCACUAUGGAAAUAUAUGUAAAAAUUCCCUUAAACCCUAAUUAGGAUUUAUAAAUGAAUUAAUAUAAUCACCUUUUUAAGCUUUUGUUGAGUAUGUUGCCAUUUUUUCCAUCCUUGUAAUUCUUUGUAACACUAUUAUCCCUACCAACGUCGCUUUUAGGUUGAAUCAACUUUGCACCUUUCAUUAACUGGUUCGAAUAUACAUCACUACAUGCAAAGAUCCCCUUCACCACUUGACCCGUUCCACCAUCGACGGCCUUUUGGAGAACCUUGUUAUAGUCUCCAAUCCUCGUAACAUACUUGGCCCAAUCUCCGGUAUUCUUAGGCUUGGAACGAUCGAUUGCGGUGGCGAUCGAAAAACAAGAAUUCUCCUUGAGAAAUUUAUCCAAACAUCCAUCAUCGUGAACUGAGUGAUGGAUUGACACACCAUAGUUCAAGAAGCUUCCACCGUCUUUAUCAGGAAGAGAGAAAAUAUAGCUGAGUUCAUCAACUUUAACGACAGGCUCGUCCCUUGUCAAUGGCCACUGGACAUCGGUACCGACUUUGAUGAUGGUGGCCAGAACAAGAUCUUCAUCAAUCACCCUAAGUAUAGAAAGAUCUCCUUCAUCCAACUUAACGUACUGCUCUGGUUCUUCAAGCAGAAGAUGAACUGAAACGCCUGGGAUUUUUAGAAUGGUUUCCUCCUUGCGUGUAGUGGCUACGGCUGUAGUAGGCACUGGUGGUUUUAGAGGCGAUGAGGUACUCCUUGAGCUUGGUCUGCAGCAACCCAUCUUUGGUGGAGAUGAUGAUAAGAAAAUGCCUGUAUUCCUUUUUAUUGUGAACAAAAAGAAAGAGAAUGUAUUCUUUUGAAUGUGCUCAAAGUUGGCCACUUUAUUCCUUUCUUUGGAUCGAUGGACAAAGAAAGUAAUUAAAUUUAAUAAACCAUGAAUACAAACACCAGACAUCUCAAUCAUGUAUUCAUGUGUUGUUGUUUCCAACUAAAUGAUAAAGAAGAACACCUGUUGCAACACUUACAUUUAAGCUUUCCACGGCCAGGAAUGAUUUCAAUCCUUCUUCUCCUCCUCUUCCACCACCAGCAGCAGCAACAUCAACAUCAUCACCACUUCCAAUCUCUUCAUUUUCCCUGAUGGCAUUAACGAAUGCUGAAGGUUUUCCAGGGAUUUUAAUAAGAUGAGUGCAGCUUCUUUCCACUAAAGGUCGCAACCCACUACCUUCGCUGCCCAACACAAGAAUUGUCGGAGUGUCAGAAUGAACUUCAUUCAAAGGAACAGCACUGAUAGAAACAGAUCCUCCGAGAACUCUCCAUCCAUUUUCUACUGAUGAUGUCAGGAACUGCAUCAUGUUCUUGCAUGAUCUCAACUCCAGUAAUUCAAGAGCCCCUGCACUUGCUUUGCUAACAACCCCACUCAAUGGAGCUGAGUUUUUAGCACAUAGAAUCACACCUUCUACACCAAAGAAAUAGGAUGAACGUAGUAUCGCUCCAAGAUUCUGUGGAUCAGUCACCUCAUCCAAUGCAACCCAAACCGGGGACUUCUUGCUGUUUUCGAUGGAUGAUAAUGGAUCUAGUUCUUUGAUACUUACCAUUUCUAAUGGAGAAGCGUCUAGAACCAAACCUUGAUGUGGACGGUUGUCUACAAUCAUAUUGAGGUCAUGCUUUGAUGUUUGUUUUAUGCUUAACCCUAAUUUUUCAGCCAUUUUGAAUAUGUUCUCCACGCCCUUCUUGUCUUUCUUUUUCUUCUUCUUAUUGUUACCAUUCAAAUCCAUUCCUUCUUGAACAUAGAGAGCAUAGAAGUCCCUUCUACCAAUUGUCAAUGCUGCUAGAAUUGGACCGACACCGUAAACAUUCUCACCGACCAUUUUCGGUAUUGAGGAUUCUGAAGCCUCUCGCCAUGUUUUCCGACCCCAACUCUCCUGUUUCUUCCACUGGGAAACCUCAGGCCUCUCGUGCCGAGCUUCUCUACUGCCAAUUCUACUGUAAUCCCUCUUUAUUGUAUCCCAUCUGCGAUCAUCAACAGGUUCAGCACCAUCCUCUUCUUCACUAUGAGAUUCAGACCUUCGUACUAUAUAAGUUCCAACAGAAUGCUGCCUCCUUCCACUCUCAAAACUCACAUUACUGCUCUUAUCUUCAACCACAUCACCGCUCUGACUUUUGGAAAAAUACUUGCUUGCAGAUUCUUCCCAUGGCGAUUUACUCUCCUUCUCUGGGAUCUUACCAUAGAUCUUCUUCACCUUCUUUGCACUGUUAGGUGCUGCUGAUGCUAUCCAGGGCAAUCUUUUCCCAGCGACUUCACCGUAGUCCUUUCCUCUACUUCUUCGGUAAUGAUCCGUUGAAAAUCCUCGGAUGGUUCGCACUCCAAUUAAAUGAUUCUCAAUACCCAAUGUUCUUCCUCCAGGAACGCAAACGAAGGUCUUCAUAGAAAGAAAGGUAGAGAAAUACCUAAAAUUGUGUUUCAGACCGAUUUGACAAGACCCAUCGGAGAAAGAUCGCAAAAUCGGAAUCCCAGGGCUCUUGGCAACCGAACAGUACAUUGCAGAAACGCCGAGAGGGAGUGUGUAUUAGUAGUGUUCGAGAGAGGUUUUCUUUUCUAGGGCCGACGGCAGAACAAUAGUUCAAUACCUUGGGUUUUUUAUUAAUAACUCCUCGUAUUAUUCUCAUAUUUGUAUACAGUAUUCAGAUAGAUGACUUGACCUUUAACUGUUGACGAGUCAACCAUCGAUGUCUCAUUUGAGAAUUGCCCAAAAGAACAAACAGCUCCCUGUGUUCCUUCUUCAAGAACAUAUCAAGUGCGAACAUAUAAGGAUCACUUCCUUGCAGAAUUUCUGGUAUCUCAUCCAACAGCUCAAUGCAAUGCUUCAUUGUGUAUUCUUCCUUUGGAACAGCCACAGAAGCCGCUACCUCCACCAUUUUGUUUCGUGAUUCGAUUGCCUUGCAUAGUCGAACCAGCUUAGUGUUAAGCCUAGCAGAUUGCACGUCUUGUUUGUUUGGUGUAAAUGAGCUAUGACCUGAUGAGUGGCUUAUCUUCCUUCGUCGAGAUGGAGGCUCAGCACUGAGCCCGUCAUGAGGAAAUGGUGAUUCCUCAAUCUGAAUUCGAGUAUCACAAGUCAACGUGCCAUUCCCUUCGAGGUUAUUAAUCUGAGCAGAAGGUGCUCGAGAGGAACCCAUAUCGACAUUUUGACUGGUGGCAGUAAGCAAUGGCGAGUUUCCACCGGCACAAGUCGUUGCUUCACUUGUUGCAAUGUUUGAGAACAAAGUGUCUAGAGAGUCUACUAAUGUAAGGCCCUUGAAACGAAACUGUGCUGCUUCUGGAUGCAUUUGUAAGUAAUCAGUCCACCACUCUUCACUUUGACUAACCAUCUGAGUCACAGGGUCUAGUAUUAAUCCGGCACAACUGAUAGACAACUUCUUCCAAAUUUUCCAUUGCUCUUUUGUGUUAUUCCAGUGGUUUUUAAAUUGUUUCUUGUCGUAAACCAAACCAGUAUUCAUAUAAAACCUAUCCAUCACGCAUUUCCAUCCUGCUUUGUUUAGGCAAGUUCCAGGUCUGUUCCCGGCAGCAACUUGGUCAAGGCAGAGACAGACGAAAAGCUUGUGAAGUUCUGGUGUCCAAUUUGCUUUCAGUUUUCGAUUUGAGAUGCAGCUUUUUAUUUCUCUUCGUGAUUUG
rnacentral:lncRNA from 1 species